UACAGAGGGUGCAAGCGUUAAUCGGAAUUACUGGGCGUAAAGCGUGCGUAGUCGGUUUGCUAAGUCGGAUGUGAAAUCCCCGGGCUCAACCUGGGAAUUGCAUUCGAUACUGGCUAGCUAGAGUUCGGCAGAGGGAAGCGGAAUUUCCGGUGUAGCGGUGAAAUGCGUAGAUAUCGGAAGGAACAUCAGUGGCGAAAGCGGCUUCCUGGACCAGAACUGACGAUCAGGCACGAAAGCGUGGGGAGCAAAC
rnacentral:rRNA from 1 species